GGGGGAUAACUACUGGAAACGGUAGCUAAUACCGCAUAACGUCGCAAGACCAAAGAGGGGGACCUUCGGGCCUCUUGCCAUCGGAUGUGCCCAGAUGGGAUUAGCUAGUAGGUGGGGUAACGGCUCACCUAGGCGACGAUCCCUAGCUGGUCUGAGAGGAUGACCAGCCACACUGGAACUGAGACACGGUCCAGACUCCUACGGGAGGCAGCAGUGGGGAAUAUUGCACAAUGGGCGCAAGCCUGAUGCAGCCAUGCCGCGUGUAUGAAGAAGGCCUUCGGGUUGUAAAGUACUUUCAGCGGGGAGGAAGGCGAUAAGGUUAAUAACCUUGUCGAUUGACGUUACCCGCAGAAGAAGCACCGGCUAACUCCGUGCCAGCAGCCGCGGUAAUACGGAGGGUGCAAGCGUUAAUCGGAAUUACUGGGCGUAAAGCGGAGGCAGGCGGUCUGUCAAGUCGGAUGUGAAAUCCCCGGGCUCAACCUGGGAACUGCAUUCGAAACUGGCAGGCUAGAGUCUUGUAGAGGGGGGUAGAAUUCCAGGUGUAGCGGUGAAAUGCGUAGAGAUCUGGAGGAAUACCGGUGGCGAAGGCGGCCCCCUGGACAAAGACUGACGCUCAGGUGCGAAAGCGUGGGGAGCAAACAGG
rnacentral:rRNA from 1 species